AUACACAAUAUAUAACUAGCGCGCGAGACAGACACGGAUACAUAAGGCAAAAAAUAAAAGAGAGAGCGCGAGAGCGAGAGCUUUUGCCCUCUCUCUCUGUGUUGGUAUUAGAAAACAUCUGAUUUUUGUAUUGCUUGGCAAUGUUUGCUGAGCGCGUGUGUGUGUCAAUUUUUGUUUAUGGCACAUUCGUAUAUACAUAGAUAUGUAUCUAUGAAAUACUCUUGGCCCACAAUAGACAACAUAUACAGACGCGAAAACCCGUAUGAAAAUGGGGACAAGCGAACGGAGUGCAAGAGUUUAAUAAUACAUAUUUCGAUUACAUUAUGGCCUUUUUUAUUUCCCUCCCUAUUUCAGCUGUCCAUUAUCGUUUGCAUCUCAUCGCAAGCGGAAAUCGGCGGAAAUUUCGCUAUCCACCCGAAAAUUAAAAAUUUACUUGAUGACGCAGUGGAAACGGGCGACGAUUUUCUAGGAAAUGUCAGAAAAUGUGGUGGAAAGUCGUUGGGGACAUAUGGGAAAAAAAUUCAUUUCGCGUGCUUAAGGGAGAAUAUAUUUUUGGCACAUCGAAAAUACGUCAUUGUAUUCGAAAUACGUAAUUUAGAAAAAAUAAGCAUAAAAUUGUAUUAUUAUUUUACCUGCUUAUUUAAGGCUUGAAAAAGUAGCUAAUUAUUUGCUUGAAUAAAAACCUUGAAUUGCUGUAGAGAUUUACAGCAACUAAUUCAAAAUAAACGUUUCAUAAUUGCUUCUUAUGGUUAAAACAGAUGCAAAAGUAAUUGGCAGCGAAUUAAAGAAACGGCAAUUAAGUUGAUCGAAAAAAGUUUGUCAUAUGGUUGUUUUUCCACCAGCUUCCCCUUUGAUUGGCACACUUUGUUGAUUAUUUUCUGCACUUCUUGGCAAAGCGAUCGAGAGCAGUUUGAAAGCGGGUGAGGUGAAGGGGCGGACAGAGGGGUGGGGGCAGGCGGUGCAUUGUUGGACUAAUUUCAUUUAGCUCGGCCACCGUCCUUGGCAUGCUUUUUGAUUUUGCAACGCGCACUGCAUUUGUAUUUGUAGAUUGUCUUGCUUGAAUAAUAUAUUUAUUGCACAUUUUCGUUUCAUUUGAUUUCUUCUCAUUUAUUAUUGCCAUGUUUUCCUCUCUGCUUUUUUUUUGACGCACAUUACAAAAUUUGAUUACCAAGCGGAAAAUGCAGGCGAGGCGAAUGAAAAGAGGAAACGAAUUGGAACUUCAAAAUAUAACUGAAGUAGAAAUGCUUUGCGUUUCAUUCGUGAUUAAGAUUUAACCAUAUAGAAAGGGUAUAAAAACCAAAGAUCGAAUACAACAAUUUUUGAAGGCGCGCCAAGCGGAGUGAAAGGCAGAACGUAUCUGAAAACCCGGACACGUGGGAGGUUCAACUGAUUGAGUCAAACAGGUUACAGAAGCGAGAAACGAAUAAAGAAGUUCAAAAGCAGACCUGGAAACAUGAUAAAUGCCCCAUGCAAAGCAGCAACAAAAGUGUUGACACACAGCAAAUGCAACGCCACAAUUAGAAAAUGUGUGUCAAUUAUAUUAAAAAAACUCGAGUAGUUUUCCUGACUUCACAAACACAAAAACCAAUUUUGAGGGAGUGGAAAGAUAGAGAUAGCGGGACGGUGGGGAAAGGGGGGCCAGAGAGCAUGAUUUGGAUUGCCUUUUCAGUGAAUUAUGUGUGUGUGUGUGUCAAAUAACACUGAAGGGGGCGUCGAACAGUCUCCCAAAGUGCUUCACCUACACAAGUGACCAGCUACAGUAAAACUUUCCUAAGAAAAAUUUUACACAACUGCAGAAAACUGUAAAAAAAAUUCCAGAGUAAAGGAAGACAAAUAAAGAGUUGUGUUUUAUUUUAAGGACUUUAGGACUAUAACUGCUAUUUUCCUAAAAACACCUGUAUUUUUAGUCAAUCUCUACUGUCUGUGUGAGCGAUCUUCAAUUAUUGGCAUUUGUGAGUGUGGGUGGUUAUGGGGUGGGCAAGGGGGUUUGUGGGGGUGUUAAGCUUCGCCAAUUGCGAUGUAUUUGUAUUAGUGGCUGUGCUUUGGCAUUACGUCACCAACACAUGCGCAGCUAACCAGCUGAGUGGCCACAAACACAAUUACACACAAACAGUUGGCACCUAAAGCCAUACAAUUAUUUUAGUUUUCUUA